GCAAAACUCAAAGCCAACCUUAGAAACUAAAAAUCGGUGCGGUGCGAUUAAGACCCUUCUUCCGAUUUUUGAUUAUAAGCUUCGACUAUAAGUUUUGCAGUUCCAGAGUCGAGGUGGCCAUGGAAGUGGAGAAUGACUAGGGAUAGGGUUUUUGCAUUGAACUUUUUAGUUGAACUUGUUAAGUUUUAGUUUAUCGUUUUAUUUUUAUUUUAUGUUACUACUUUGAUUUCGGCACGUUGAUUUUAAAUUAGUUUAAA